GGAUGUGAGGGCGAUCUGGCUGCGACAUCUGUCACCCCACUGAUCGCCAGGAUUGAUUUGGCUAUCUGGCUGGCUAGACAGGUGUCCCCUUCCUCCCUCACUGCCUCAUGGGCGUCCCCCCAGAAGCUGCCCACUCGGUGGAAGAGGGUGGAUGGCCUUCCCGGAAUAGAUACGGACCGGUCUUCAGUGGGAGGCAUGAGUAGCUGCGCUCCCCUGCUGGAACUUCCAAACUAGCUCUCAAGAAUUAAACAUUUGCUUAUAGAACAAAAUGGUUUGGUUCUGAUAUAGUAAGGACCAAUUUAGUAAGGAACAUCUUGAUGAAGAAGGGCAGAAUUGCUGAGAAUGCUAGCCUACUUUUUAC
ensembl:misc_RNA 7SK 7SK RNA